rnacentral:rRNA from 1 species
GAGUGGAGGACGGGUGAGUAAUAUAUCGGAACGGGCCCUGUAUCGGGGGAUAACUAGUCGAAAGGGUGGCUAAUACCGCAUACGCCCUACGGGGGAAGGGGGGGGAUCGGAAGACCUCUCACUAUUGGAGCGGCCGAUAUCGGAUUAGCUAGUUGGUGGGGUAAAGGCUCACCAAGGCAACGAUCCGUAGCUGGUUUGAGAGGACGACCGGCCACACUGGGACUGAGACACGGCCCAGACUCCUACGGGAGGCAGCAGUGGGGAAUUUUGGACAAUGGGGGAAACCCUGAUCCAGCCAUCCCGCGUGUAUGAUGACGGCCUUCGGGUUGUAAAGUACUUUUGGCAGAGAAGAAAAGGUAUCCCCUAAUACUGCAUACUGCUGACGGUAUCUGCACAAUACGCACCGGCUAACUACGUGCCAGCUGCCACGGUAAUACGUAGGGUGCGAGCGUUAAUCGGAAUUACUGGGCGUAAAGCGUGUGUAGGCGGUUCGGAAAGAAAGAUGUGAAAUCCCAGGGCUCAACCUUGGAACUGCAUUUUUAACUGCCGAGCUAGAGUAUGUCAUAUGGGGGUAGAAUUCCACGUGUACCAGUGAAAUGCGUAUAUAUGUGGAGGAAUACCGAUGGCUAACGCAGCCCCCUGAGAUAAUACUGACGCUCAGACACGAAUGCGUGGGGAGCAAACAGGAUUACAUACCCUGGUAGUCCACGCCCUAAACGAUGUCAACUAGCUGUUGGGGCCGUUAGGCCUUAGUAGCGCAGCUAACGCGUGAAGUUGACCGCCUGGGGAGUACGGUCGCAAGAUUAAAACUCAAAGGAAUUGACGGGGACCCGCACAAGCGGUGGAUGAUGUGGAUUAAUUCGAUGCAACGCGAAAAACCUUACCUACCCUUGACAUGUCUGGAAAGCCGAAGAGAUUUGGCCGUGCUCGCAAGAGAACCGGAACACAGGUGCUGCAUGGCUGUCGUCAGCUCGUGUCGUGAGAUGUUGGGUUAAGUCCCGCAACGAGCGCAACCCUUGUCAUUAGUUGCUACGCAAGAGCACUCUAAUGAGACUGCCGGUGACAAACCGGAGGAAGGUGGGGAUGACGUCAAGUCCUCAUGGCCCUUAUGGGUAGGGCUUCACACGUCAUACAAUGGUCGGGACAGAGGGUCGCCAACCCGCGAGGGGGAGCCAAUCUCAGAAACCCGAUCGUAGUCCGGAUCGCAGUUUGCAACUCGAAUGCGUGAAGUCGGAAUCGCUAGUAAUCGCGGAUCAGAAUGUCGCGGUGAAUACGUUCCCGGGUCUUGUACACACCGCCCGUCACACCAUGGGAGUGGUAUUCUCCAGAGGUAGGUAGCCUAACCGUAAGGAGGGCGCCUACC